rnacentral:rRNA from 1 species
CCUACGGGGGGCAGCAGUGAGGAAUAUUGGUCAAUGGACGAGAGUCUGAACCAGCCAAGUAGCGUGAAGGAUGACUGCCCUAUGGGUUGUAAACUUCUUUUAUAUGGGAAUAAAAUGUUCCACGUGUGGGAUUUUGUAUGUACCAUAUGAACAAGGAUCGGCUAACUCCGUGCCAGCAGCCGCGGUAAUGCGGAGGAUUUGAGCGUUAUCCGGAUUUAUUGGGUUUAAAGGGAGCGUCGGGGGAUAGUUAAGUCAGUUGUGAAAGUUUGGGGGUCAACCGUAGAAUUGCAGUUGAAACUGGCAGUCUUGAGUGCGGGAGAGGGAGGCGGAAGGCGUGGUGUAGCGGUGAAAUGCAGAGAUAUCACGAAGAAGUCCGAUUGCGAAGGCAGCGGACUGGAGUGCAACUGACGCUGAGGCUCGAAAGUGUGGGUAUCGAACAGGAUUAGAUACCCGUGUAGUC